rnacentral:rRNA from 1 species
UACGUAGGGUGCGAGCGUUGUCCGGAAUUAUUGGGCGUAAAGAGCUUGUAGGCGGUUUGUCGCGUCUGCUGUGAAAAUCCGGGGCUCAACCCCGGACUUGCAGUGGGUACGGGCAGACUAGAGUGCUGUAGGGGAGACUGGAAUUCCUGGUGUAGCGGUGAAAUGCGCAGAUAUCAGGAGGAACACCGGUGGCGAAGGCGGGUCUCUGGGCAGUAACUGACGCUGAGGAGCGAAAGCGUGGGGAGCGAACAGG